rnacentral:lncRNA from 1 species
GUGUGAGCAGGACGAUCGAGCAGUUGGGAGGAGCGGUGAGGCAGGACGAUCGAGCAGGUUGGGAGGAGCGGUGAGCAGGACGAUCGAGCAGGUUGGGAGGAGCGGUGAGCAGGACGAUCGAGCAGGUUGGGAGGAGCGGUGAGCAGGACGAUCGAGCAGGUUGGGAGGAGCGGUGAGCAGGAGAUCGAGCAGGUUGGGAGGAGCGGUGAGCAGGACGAUCGAGCAGGUUGGGAGGAGCGGUGAGCAGGACGACCGUGUCGGCGGCCGCCAACUGGAGGAAGAGGAUCAAAUCAAAUCAAAUUUUAUUUGUCACAUACACAUGGUUAGAAAUGUUUAGUGCGAGUGUAGCGAAAUGCUGUGGCUUCUAGUUCCGACA